CAGCCGCCGCGGUAAUACGUAGGUGGCAAGCGUUGUCCGGAAUUAUUGGGCGUAAAGGGCUCGCAGGCGGUUUCUUAAGUCUGAUGUGAAAGCCCCCGGCUCAACCGGGGAGGGUCAUUGGAAACUGGGAAACUUGAGUGCAGAAGAGGAGAGUGGAAUUCCACGUGUAGCGGUGAAAUGCGUAGAGAUGUGGAGGAACACCAGUGGCGAAGGCGAUUCUCUGGUCUGUAACUGACACUGAGGCACGAAAGCGUGGGUAGCAAACAGGAUUAGAUACCCGAGUAGUCCCUGUUUCUUAUAC
rnacentral:rRNA from 1 species